CUCAGGACGAACGCUGGCGGCGUGCUUAAUACAUGCAAGUCGUACGCUUCUUUUUCCACCGGAGCUUGCUCCACCGGAAAAAGARGAGUGGCGAACGGGUGAGUAACACGUGGGUAACCUGCCCAUCAGAAGGGGAUAACACUUGGAAACAGGUGCUAAUACCGUAUAACAAUCGAAACCGCAUGGUUUUGAUUUGAAAGGCGCUUUCGGGUGUCGCUGAUGGAUGGACCCGCGGUGCAUUAGCUAGUUGGUGAGGUAACGGCUCACCAAGGCCACGAUGCAUAGCCGACCUGAGAGGGUGAUCGGCCACAUUGGGACUGAGACACGGCCCAAACUCCUACGGGAGGCAGCAGUAGGGAAUCUUCGGCAAUGGACGAAAGUCUGACCGAGCAACGCCGCGUGAGUGAAGAAGGUUUUCGGAUCGUAAAACUCUGUUGUUAGAGAAGAACAAGGAUGAGAGUAACUGUUCAUCCCUUGACGGUAUCUAACCAGAAAGCCACGGCUAACUACGUGCCAGCAGCCGCGGUAAUACGUAGGUGGCAAGCGUUGUCCGGAUUUAUUGGGCGUAAAGCGAGCGCAGGCGGUUUCUUAAGUCUGAUGUGAAAGCCCCCGGCUCAACCGGGGAGGGUCAUUGGAAACUGGGAGACUUGAGUGCAGAAGAGGAGAGUGGAAUUCCAUGUGUAGCGGUGAAAUGCGUAGAUAUAUGGAGGAACACCAGUGGCGAAGGCGGCUCUCUGGUCUGUAACUGACGCUGAGGCUCGAAAGCGUGGGGAGCAAACAGGAUUAG
rnacentral:rRNA from 1 species